UACAUGGGGUGCAAACGUUGCUCGGAAUUAUUGGGCGUAAAGCGCACGUAGGCGGUUUGUUAAGUCGGAUGUGAAAUCCCUCGGCUCAACUGAGGAAGUGCAUCCGAAACUGGCAAGCUUGAGUACGAAAGAGGGUCGCGGAAUUCCCGGUGUAGAGGUGAAAUUCGUAGAUAUCGGGAGGAACACCGGUGGCGAAGGCAGUUCUCUGGGCCGUAACUGACGCUGAGGAGCGAAAGCGUGGGGAGCGAACAGG
rnacentral:rRNA from 1 species